UUAAGCUACUAAGAGCAUAGGGAGAAUGCCUAGGUACCAAAAGCCGAAGAAAGACGUGAUAAGCUGCGAAAAGCCACGGGGAGAAGCAAAUAUUCAAUAAUCCGUGGAUGUCUGAAUGAGGAAACUCUAACCAAGAAAAAAGUUGGUUAAUCCAUACAUGAGUAAAGUAGUGUAUAGGAGGGGAACGUGGGGAACUGAAACAUCUAAGUACCCACAGGAAAAGAAAGAAAACUCGAUUCCUAAAGUAGUGGCGAGCGAAAUAGGAAGAGCCCAAACCAGAAGAAGAAAUUCAUCUGGGGUUCGGACUACAUAAUUGAUUCAAUGAGUUUAGUAAAAUUGUUUGGGAAAGCAAACCAAAGACGGUGAAAGUCCAGUAUACGAAAAACAAGUUGACAAGGUAGAAUCCAGAGUAGUGCGAGACACGUGAAAUCUCGUAUGAAAGAGCGGGGACCACCCCGUAAGGCUAAAUACUAAUUGGUAACCGAUAGUGAAGAAGUACCGUGAGGGAAAGUUGAAAAGAACCCCGGGAGGGGAGUGAAAUAGAACCUGAAACCCUAUGUUUACAAGCAGACAAAGCACGUUAAGGUGCGAUGUCGUACUUUUUGUAGAACGGUCCGGCGAGUUAUUUUAUAUGGCAAGGUUAAGUACUAAAGGUACGGAGCCGAAGAGAAAUCGAGUCUGAAGAGGGCGAAUAAGUCAUAUGAAAUAGACCCGAAACCGAGUGACCUAUCCAUGUCCAGGCUGAAGCUUGAGUAAAAUCAAGUGGAGGGCCGAACUCAUAGACGUUAAAAAGUCUCGGGAUGAGGUGUGGAUAGCGGAGAAAUUCCAAUCGAACUCGGAGAUAGCUGGUUCUCCUCGAAAUAGUUUUAGGACUAGCCUUGUUUCGUAGCAUUUGGGGGUAGAGCACUGAAUGAGGUAGGGGCCAACACGGUUACUGAACUCUAUCAAACUACGAAUACCAAAUGUGUAAGAACAAGAGUCAGACUGCGGGAGCUAAGUUCCGUGGUCAAAAGGGAAAGAGCCCAGAUCGUCAAUUAAGGUCCCAAAGAUAUAGUUAAGUGGAAAACGAUGUGAUUUUGCGUAAACAACCAGGAUGUUGGCUUAGAAGCAGCCAUUCAUUCAAAGAGUGCGUAAUAGCUCACUGGUCGAGUGAAGUUGCGCGGAAAAUUACCGGGGCUAAACUAUACACCGAAAUUGCGGAUUUGCAUAGAAAUAUGUAAGUGGUAGAGGAGCAUUCUAUAGUAGGACGAAGCAUAAUCGAAAGGAUAUGUGGACGAGAUAGAAGAGAGAAUGCCGGAAUAAGUAGCGAAAGCAUGGUGAGAAUCCAUGCCAUCGAAAGUCUAAGGUUUCCUGGGGAAGGUUCGUCCGCCCAGGGUAAGUCGGGACCUAAGGAGAGGCCGAAAAGCGUAUCCGAUGGACAGCAGGUAGAAAUUCCUGCACUACGUAAUACUUAAAAGACAUAAAUGACACAGGAGUGGAAGAUAAGCGAGGAAGAGGAAAGACUCGUAUCGAAAGAUAUAGUGAAAAUUAAAGUAACGAAUUAUCAAGAAGCUAAUGGCGAGAAAAGUUUAUGGAUAUUGUAUUAAGUACCCGUACCGCAAACCGACACAGGUAGAUGAGGAGAAGAUCCUAAGAUGAGCGAGAGAAGCAUUGUUAAGGAACUCGGCAAACUGACCCCGUAACUUCGGAAUAAGGGGUGCUGGAGUAAAAUCCAGUCGCAGAGAAUAGUCCCAAGCAACUGUUUAACAAAAACACAGGUUUCUGCUAAAUCGAAAGAUGAAGUAUAGGAGCUGACACCUGCCCAGUGCUGGAAGGUUAAGGGAAAGAGUUAGACGCAAGUCGAAGCUUAGAACUAAAGCCCCAGUGAACGGCGGCCGUAACUAUAACGGUCCUAAGGUAGCGAAAUUCCUUGUCAGGUAAGUUCUGACCCG
rnacentral:rRNA from 1 species